GACGAACGCUGGCGGCGUGCUUAACACAUGCCAGUCGAACGGAAAGGCCCUGCUUUUGUGGGGUGCUCGAGUGGCGAACGGGUGAGUAACACGUAAGUAACCUGCCCUUGACUUUGGGAUAACUUCAGGAAACUGGGGCUAAUACCGGAUAGGAGCUCCUGCUGCAUGGUGGGGGUUGGAAAGUUUCGGCGGUUGGGGAUGGACUCGCGGCUUAUCAGCUUGUUGGGGGGAUAGUGGCUUACCAAGGCUUUGACGGGUAGCCGGCCUGAGAGGGUGACCGGCCACAUUGGGACUGAGAUACGGCCCAGACUCCUACGGGAGGCAGCAGUGGGGAAUAUUGCACAAUGGGCGGAAGCCUGAUGCAGCAACGCCGCGUGCGGGAUGACGGCCUUCGGGUUGUAAACCGCUUUCGCCUGUGACGAAGCGUGAGUGACGGUAAUGGGUAAAGAAGCACCGGCUAACUACGUG
rnacentral:rRNA from 1 species